rnacentral:rRNA from 1 species
AACGAACGCUGGCGGCAUGCCUAACACAUGCAAGUCGAACGAGACCUUCGGGCUUAGUGGCGCACGGGUGCGUAACGCGUGGGAACCUGCCCUUAGGUUCGGAAUAACUCCCCGAAUGGGGUGCUAAUACCGGAUAUUGUCUUCGGACCAAAGAUUUAUCGCCUUUGGAUGGGCCUGCGUUGGAUUAGCUAGUUGGUAGGGUAAAAGCCUAUCACGGCGACGAUCCAUAGCUGGUCUGAGAGGAUGCUCAGCCACACUGGGACUGAGACACGGCCCAGACUCCUGCGGGAGGCAGCAGUGGGGAAUAUUGGACAAUGGGCGAAAGCCUGAUCCAGCAAUGCCGCGUGAGUGAUGAAGGCCGUAGGGUUGUAAAGCUCUUUUACCCGGGAUGAUAAUGACAGUACCGGGAGAAUAAGCUCCGGCUAACUCCGUG